rnacentral:rRNA from 1 species
AUACCCAAAGAGAAUGGGGGGGGCCCCCCACAACGCGGUGGACAUUGGGUUAAAUUUGACGAAAACGCGAAAACCUUUCCCCCCCUUUACAAUUUCCGGGCCCGGUUGGAAGAGAUUGUCUUUUUUUUUGGAGCCUGGAGCACAGGUGGUGGCAUGGCGUUUGUCAGCUGGGUCGGGAGAUGUGGGGUUAAGUCCGCCAACGAGCGCAACCCUCUGCCCUUAGUUGCCAUCAUUUCAGUUGGGCACUCUAAGGGGACCGCCGGUUAUUAGCCGAGAGGAAGGUGGGGAUGACGUCAAGUCCUCAUGGGCCUUACGGGGUGGGGUACACACGUGCUACAAAGGCGGUGACAAUGGGCAGCAACACAGCAAUGUGAAGCUAAUCUCAAAAAGCCGUUUCAGUUCGGAUUGGGCUUUGCAACUCGAGCCCAUGAAGUUGGAAUCGCUAGUAAUCGCGCAUCAGCAUGGCGCGGUGAAUACGUUCCCGGGCCUUGUACACACCGCCCGUCACACCAUGGGAGUUGGUUUUACCCGAAGACGGUGCGCUAACCGCAAGGAGGCAGCCGGCCACGGUAAGGUCAGCGACUGGGGUGAAGUCGUAACAAGGUAACCGUAAAUU